CAAAAUCUCUUGAACCAUUAACCAUUUGCUUCAUCCUAAUAACGCAUGUAAGCUUCCUUCGGAGUUUCAUGAUUUGCUCUCUCUUUUUCUAGGUUAGUAGUUGGCCAUUUGAUUUCUACUGUUGAUAUAUGAUAUAUAUUUGACUAUUUUACCGUUGUUAUACAGAUGCUAUCUUAUUUGUUUUCUCAAUAUGUUAAAAAUAAUUAACUUUCGUAUCAUUGUCUGUAAAUGAUGUUUGACUUCAUCAGAAGGUGGCCGGAGAUUAUAGCAUAAGUCAUAAUAAAUGCAAAAAUACACAAUGAUUUUAUUAUUGCAACAAGCUAGACAAUAAUCAUAAUAGUCUACACGCAUGUCCAUAUAAAAAUGUAACAAUGAUAAAAUUAAAUACAUUAUAGUAUAGUCAUAGUCAUACAUUAUGAUUUAAUUAAUGGUCAGUACUUAGUAUAGCUAGCUUCCGUCGAGGUCCUCUCAGCGCUCUAUAGAUUGAUAUAUAACAGAGGACAAAUUAACAAUAGUCGAUUACUCUAUAAGUUUAGUUUUUAAAUUGUUAUUAUAAUUGUGUGUUUAUAAGUAUAGGAUGAAGUGGCUGUAAAAAAACAAGUGUAGGAUGAAGGGUGUACUAAGGUAUUCAUAAAUCAUAAUACUUGUGUUUGUACCCAUAUUUAUCAAACAAAUAAUAUAAUUAACUUACAUCAUGAACAAUUUUUACGGGUAUUUAUUGAGUGAAUUAUUCAUUACCUAUGUUCAUUCCUAUUAAGAUUAAAAAAUAAAUACACACUAUUUUUUUAAGUAGUCGUAUAUAUAGUUAUCAACUACUACCGUGAUUCUUAUUUAUUUAAAGUUGUUUUUUUAUGUAAGACAAUUUUAUUAUGUUCUUUGUAGUAACAUUAAACUAUUUAUAUUCUCGUUCCAUAUAUGCCUUCUAUUUUUAUUUGUCUUUCGAGUUUGUGUAUAUUUUUCUUAUGAAUAUUUUGUUGAACAUACAUAAUUGAUGGGACCAAAUCCGGAGUCUUCAAUUCCUAUCCAUAUACAUGUGGAUAAUUAGAUCCAUAGGAUACUUAACCAAAAACCACCGUCUCCACUCUAUAGCCAAACUGGAACGGCCAUAUGCUAAUACGUACCCCCAAAAAGUUAAAGACCGUGUAGAAUUGAAUUGGUGAUCUCUUUUAAGAGAUACCAUGUCUUAAUAAUUUCUAGCAUCAAUUGCGUAGUGAUAUAGUAUAUUAUUGGAAGUGUUGCAUGGCCUAAUAUUUGGUUACCUAGAAAGUUUUAGAGAUUUAGAUAAAACCGUGUUAUUUGAUAUUCAAUUAUUUGGUGACAAUAGUCUCUUCAAAGCGCCAUCGGUGUCGCAAGAUUAUGCUAAGAUCUGAAACAUUCGUUGUCUUGGUUUCCUCCUAUCUCUGCAUUCCCAUGUUCAAUGUAUUCUCCACACCCCCNNNNNNNNNNNNNNNNNNNNNNNNNNNNNNNNNNNNNNNNNNNNNNNNNNNNNNNNNNNNNNNNNNNNNNNNNNNNNNNNNNNNNNNNNNNNNNNNNNNNAAUAAUGAAAAAGGGUAUCAUUUUUAGACUCACUUAGAGAAAAUUAAAAAAAAAACUUAUUUUUUCAUAAGUAUUAUACACAAUUUUAUAUAAUUUAAAAAUAAUAAUAUUUCAUUAUGCUAAGUUAUUUUAAUAUAUAAUAUAUUAUUUAAAAUAAAAAUAUCUAAUACUAGACUACAUCUUACAAAUGUUAAAACCCCUCUUUAAAUGCAAUUAGAUAUGUUAUAACCCUUCUUUGAAUGGGAUUAGAUCCGGAACUUCAUCUGAUUUUGCAUUCAAAGGAAUAGUUAGGCUAAUCGAUGUGUAGUUGAUGAGUAGUUUAGUUGGAAUGAAGUAACCCACCUCAAUGAGUUGAGUAACUUUAGAGGUGGAAUGAUUAAAAUGGGUGAUAUCAAAUUGACUAACUAAGUUCGACAACUAGUCUUAAUUACUGUUAAAAAAUCAAAUAAAACACCAAUAUAUUUAUUAAUUUAAAUAUUUAAUUAAAUAAUUUUUUUUAUUAAUUAUAAAAUAAAUGAUUUGAAUUUAAUUUUAAUAAAAAUCCAAUUUUGUAAUAUUUAGUUAUAAAUUACAAUUUUAAAAUUUAAUGAAUGUUAAAACCACAACAUAAGAUCGAGAAAGAGGUAUAUAUUAUGAAAAUGUCUUUAUUAUGUAAGAAUGAAAAUGAUCAAUUUUAACCUUAAAUUUAAAAUCUAAAUUUAACCAAACAUAACCUUUUUAUUUAUAUUAAAAGUUUAACAGUGAUGUAAUGAAAUUCUAAAAUAGUUUUUAAUCAUUUAUUGUAAAUAGUUGUUGAUUAAUACAGAUCUUUUAAUUUUCAACCCAUCCAAUAAGAAACUUGAAGUGCCAAAAUAAAAAUGUUAUUUUCUACUCUCUCACUAAUACUUCCUGCUCGGUCCUAUUAACCCGGAAUGCAAUGGGUGCCGCAGGAACAGGAAGGCGUAGUGGAAAUACAUGAAGUUUUAGCCGUAAAAUAAAGUAUGUAUAUUUAUUGGACUUUGUUGGGGUGCCAUAUAUAUUUGGGUCCAUGAAUACCAUAGUUCCCAUAUCAUAUGUACAUAAUACACUUGUUAAUUGUUAUACUUAACGGCCCAAAGCUAAAGAGUUAUCUCGUGCCUCGUGCACAAUAUUUUUGGCUCGUGAA
rnacentral:lncRNA from 1 species